UGCCUUCCUUUUGUUCAUUGAUCCUCUCUGCUUACAUGUCUUUUCUAUUUUAGUCAACGGUGGAAGAAGAAUUGACUUCUUUCUAUAAGUGGUGCUGUGUUGAGGCAGAUGUAACUUUUCAAAGUUCUAUGGCUCAGCAAAUAGGAGGUGGCAUAGCCACACUUUACAACUGCACAGGCUGACAUCUGACAUCUCUGUGUUUUGAUGUAAAGGAUAGCAGCCAUGAGGAAGGGAAGCUCAAAGGAGGAAGGGAUGGGUGACCCUCCCUUGCCUUUUCCCUCUGUGCUCCUCUUCCAUCACUCUGAUUUGGUCGUACGCCAGACCACCCCCGAUGUGUGUUAGGGAAACAAAAUUAACAAAUUUGGUUGAAAAUAAUUAAAUGUCUCAUUUGUGUCUUUCUCUUUCAUUUAGACUUAAGAAAAUCAUCCCCACAUAUUCACACCUCGACCAAAGAGGAUGGGUAUGGUAUAGAGGCCCUUAUGUCUAGAAGAAAAAAAGGAAGAAAAAGCUCAUGGCUCCUUUGUGAUUAUUGGAAAUUUUAAGACUAGGAUGUCACAUAUUAUAUAGAAGUGUUUUCAUGCUCCAUGAAAAUUCAGAAAAGAUCAUUUUUUCAAGAAAAUACCUAGAUAAGGUCUAUUUGGAAA
rnacentral:lncRNA from 1 species